rnacentral:rRNA from 1 species
AUUGAACGCUGGCGGAAUGCUUUACACAUGCAAGUCGAACGGUAGAGGGGGCAACCCCUCGAGAGUGGCGAACGGGUGAGUAAUAUAUCGGAACGUGCCCAGUCGUGGGGGAUAACGUAGCGAAAGUUACGCUAAUACCGCAUACGAUCUAAGGAUGAAAGCGGGGGAUCGCAAGACCUCGCGCGAUUGGAGCGGCCGAUAUAAGAUUAGGUAGUUGGGGGGGUAAAGGCCCACCAAGCCAACGAUCUGUAGCUGGUCUGAGAGGACGACCAGCCACACUGGAACUGAGACACGGUCCAGACUCCUACGGGAGGCAGCAGUGGGGAAUUUUGGACAAUGGGCGAAAGCCUGAUCCAGCCAUUCCGCGUGCAGGAUGAAGGCCCUCGGGUUGUAAACUGCUUUUGUACAGAACGAAAAGGUUUCUACUAAUACUAGGAGCUCAUGACGGUACUGUAAGAAUAAGCACCGGCUAACUACGUGCCAGCCGCCGCAGUAA